AGAGCGAACGCUGGCGGCAGGCUUAACACAUGCAAGUCGAGCGGGCGUAGCAAUACGUCAGCGGCAGACGGGUGAGUAACGCGUGGGAACGUACCUUUUGGUUCGGAACAACACAGGGAAACUUGUGCUAAUACCGGAUAAGCCCUUACGGGGAAAGAUUUAUCGCCAAAAGAUCGGCCCGCGUCUGAUUAGCUAGUUGGUGAGGUAACGGCUCACCAAGGCGACGAUCAGUAGCUGGUCUGAGAGGAUGAUCAGCCACAUUGGGACUGAGACACGGCCCAAACUCCUACGGGAGGCAGCAGUGGGGAAUAUUGGACAAUGGGCGCAAGCCUGAUCCAGCCAUGCCGCGUGAGUGAUGAAGGUCCUAGGGUUGUAAAGCUCUUUUGUGCGGGAGAUAAUGACGGUACCGCAAGAAUAACGCCCCGGCUAACUUCGCGCCAGCAGCCGC
rnacentral:rRNA from 1 species